rnacentral:rRNA from 1 species
GACGAACGCUGGCGGCGUGCUUAACAUAUGCAAGUCGAACGGAAAGGCCCUGCUUUUGUGGGGUGCUCGAGUGGCGAACGGGUGAGUAACACGUGAGUAACCUGCCCUUGACUUUGGGAUAACUUCAGGAAACUGGGGCGAAUACCGGAUAGGAGCUCCUGCUGCAUGGUGGGGGUUGGAAAGUUUCGGCGGUUGGGGAUGGACUCGCGGCUUAUCAGCUUGUUGGUGGGGUAGUGGCUUACCAAGGCUUUGACGGGUAGCCGGCCUGAGAGGGUGACCGGCCACAUUGGGACUGAGAUACGGCCCAGACUCCUACGGGAGGCAGCAGUGGGGAAUAUUGCACAAUGGGCGGAAGCCUGAUGCAGCAACGCCGCGUGCGGGAUGACGGCCUUCGGGUUGUAAACCGCUUUCGCCUGUGACGAAGCGUGAGUGACGGUAAUGGGUAAAGAAGCACCGGCUAACUACGUG